rnacentral:rRNA from 1 species
GUGGGGAAUAUUAGGCAAUGGGGGAAACCCUGACCUAGCGACGCCGCGUGAAGGAUGAAGGUUUUCGGAUUGUAAACUUCUUUGGCAGAGGACGAUAAUGACGGUACUCUGAGAACAAGCCACGGCUAACUACGUGCCAGCAGCCGCGGUAAUACGUAGGUGGCAAGCGUUGUCCGGAUUUACUGGGUGUAAAGGGCGAGUAGGCGGGCUAACAAGUCAGAUGUGAAAUACCGAGGCUCAACUUCGGGGCUGCAUUUGAAACUGUUAGUCUUGAGUGAUGGAGAGGCAGGCGGAAUUCCCAGUGUAGCGGUAAAAUGCAUAGAGAUUGGGAGGAACACCAGUGGCGAAGGCGGCCUGCUGGACAUUAACUGACGCUGAGGAGCGAAAGUGUGGGGAGCAAACAGGA